rnacentral:tRNA from 1 species
GGAGAUUUAGCUCAGUCGUAGAGCGCUUGCCUAGGAAGCGCAAGGCCCUGGGUUCGGUCCCCAGCUCCA